AGUCGCACUUACUGGUGAAUUUAGACAAGGUUUGAUCGUUUUUUUCUCUGGUCUAUUUUAGUGCUUUCCCAAAUUGGCUCUGUAGAGAAUUUGACCAGUUCAGCUCCUCAAAGUCACAGUGAAAAAAAAUAACCAAACAAGGAUAUUCAUUGUUCUUACCACAAAAUCAUUAUUGCAAAAUGAGGUUUGUGAGCAUGGGGAGAAGGGAGCCUCCAUAUACUACUCUCUACCAAAAUGAGAUUUGAUCCUGAAGCACCUCACCGACCCAAGACCACUAUACAAGAUGAAAAGAACGCGGUGUUGCAGUGACCAACAGGAGAGAAGUAUGCACAUCUUGGCUACACCAAAGUGAGACAGAACUUUUUGGCUACACCAAAAUAUUUCCAUAUGCUAGAGGAUUCCAAGUCUCAUGUUUAUGGAAAAAGCAACUAUGGCUGCAGCCUGAAGAAAAUUAUUCAAAUAGGAUUCGUGGUCACCACUAUGUUCGGAUCAUUGGUUUAUGUGACUGUACCAAAAAUUGUGUCAUGUCAAAAACCUUUAAACAUUGUCCUAGGGCAGAAACUCAGAAUCAUUAAUAACUAAGGAGAUCAUAGGACAGUUAUCCAGUAAGACUGGGCAUAUUCCCUGUAGGCAGCGCUCCACUAUAGGCAGCAUGAGAUACACUGGGAAAGUUAUGGUUAAAAAAUGGAGGGCAAGUUGGAAAGGGGUAGGAAUGUGGGAGAUUUAUCUAAGAGAGGUUAGAGGGAGAAGUGAGAUUGAAUAUGAUUAAUAUAUAGUAUGCAUGUAUAGUAUUUGUAUCAGCAAAUCAAUACAUUAUAUUUAUUAUAUAUUAUAUAUUCAUUAGGCUUAGACCUACCUGAAUUCACAGUUGCCUUGACAUUCAUGUCUCGUGGUCCUCGCUGUUUCUUCAGAGGACUGCGAUCCAUUUAUUUUGCUCUUGUUCUUGUGCACUCUUUGUAAGUAAUCUAAUAAACUGAGACCACACUAAAGCCGAGA
rnacentral:lncRNA from 1 species